rnacentral:tRNA from 1 species
GCCUGGGUGGCUGGGUUAAGCGUCUGACUUCGGCUCAGGUCAUGAUCUCACGGUUUGUGGGUUCGAGCCCCGCAUCGGGCU